UGAUGGACCUGUCAAGGUGUUAAAAAUGUGUGGGUUUUUUUUUCCCCAGGUUUUUGUUUUCUUUGGUAAUAAUAAUGUGGGCUGGGAAGCUCGUAGUGCGCUUCAGGGCUGAAGUGCUUGGGCAGUCAUUAGAGCUUCUACAAGACCUUAUUUCUUAAUACUUUAUGUUCGUGUCAGAUGAGCAGGUAGACGAGGACAUGGACUGAGCUAACUGCAGCGUGUAGCUCCCUGGCAGCUUAUGGUGAGGGGUUACAGAGACGGCUGUCAGAAGAGCUCAGUAAACCACAGAGGGCAGGCUGCUGGUGGAGCUGGGAGUUCCAGGUUAUUGGUAGUGCUUUAGUGUGGGACAUGAGGGCGCAGCCUUUGCAGACCAGCUGUCACAACUGGGAGCUGUUUUGUGUUGAGCUUGGACACCAGCCGUCUCCAUCCUGGCUGCCCUGUAAGCGGUCUUCUGGCUCUGGGGACAUCUGCCCAGUUUAGGAAUGAAUCCUCAACAUACAUAAAGCUAACUGUAAAUAUACAAAGCACUGAACUAAAUAUAACAGUUUGUCUUAGCUGCCAGAAUAACUCAGAUAUAACUAGCCAAGGGUUAUUAGUUUUAAAUUGUUUUUUGUCUAUGUGCUAAAAUUGUCCUGCAUUUGCUCUCAUGUGAUGCUAAUCAUAGUCUUUACCACUGAGGUGGAGUUGAUUUAUUCUUCUUGUUGUUCAUCAGUACGCUCACCUGGUCACUAAUCAGUAUAUGUCGGCCAAACAUAGUGUUGGGCUAGCCAAACAGGCUGGGAUUUGAAGGUUGUUUCUACUUUCUCCAUCUUCAGUCAGAAGCAGAGGUGUGUUCAGGCAGUGGUUGCAUGAGGUGAGGGAAGUCUCGAGGUAUAUGCUGUGCAUGUAGUCAGUGGUAAGCAGUCACACUGGAGACCUGACUUUCUGUUGCUAUUUUAUUUGCCUGUUUUGGAAGCCAUUACAUCCUUGUUUGAAUGCCUUAUUGAGAUACAGUCUUAGAGUUUAACCAGUACUCUUAAAAGCUAUUCAGUAGGCACAGUCAGGAGCUCUUUUUUCCUGACUGUAAAAGUGAAACAUUUGUGGGUUUACUUGAAAAAGCUGCAGCCCAAAUUACCAGCUUUUAAUCCAACUAGAGCAAGGUAAAGAGACUUUAUCUGAUCUGUUGCCUCUGGCAUUUUCUCCAAACCCACUUGUUUCUCAGUAGCAGAAACAUCUUGCCCAAUUGGGAUGCAAUAAUUUCAAAGCAAGUAAAAGAAACUGCAGCUGCUCAGCUGAGUCAGCCAAAGCAGCAACAGGCUCUUGUGCAGAGUGAAUCACUUGGAAGGCUGAGGAACAUUCUCCAGAGCUCCUGAUUCAUGUCCCCGUGUGCCCCACCACAGGGUCAUGUCCCAGAUCGGAAUCCUCAGUGUUCGUUACUAAAGCGGUCAUGUGCAAGGAGCACAAAACCACUCGUACUUGCAGACUCUAAAGUUGCAGGUUUGUUUCAUAAGAGCCUUUGCUCUGCUGUGCCUUGUGUUCCCUGCCCAGACCAGCCCUGAUCUGCAGGUCACAUAUGUGCAGUGCUGUGCAUGGACUUCAGUUUGAGUUUCGUCUUCAUUUUCUGAGUGGAUUGAUCAAGUGGGUCUGUCUCUGUGAGUCUCCAGGUAGCACCCAAGAACUGCCCAGUACAGGGACAUUCUGCAGAGAAAGCUCAGAAGUUUGUUUUUUUCAGAGGAGCAGGAGAAGCAAUUUAGAAAAUACAUUUACAGUAAGGAAAACGCAGUUGUUAUGGAAACAUCUGAGACAGGCAGCUGACAUAGGAUAAGACAUGCACCAGAUUAGUAGUACGGAUAGACACAGUAAAAAGGCAAGUUCAUGUAAGAAAGAAAUAUAUAUUACAGAAGAAAUGGAAGUUCCCAAGGAGCUUGGGCUGCAGAAGGAUUCCACGUGCCAACUCUCUUUUCCAUCUCAUUAUCAUAUGCUUGCAAUCAAACUCUAAUUUUUGAAAUAAAAAACCUGCAGGAUUCUUUACUGGGACUAUUAAACCUUCAAUCUUCAUUAUUU